rnacentral:rRNA from 1 species
UACAGAGGUCCCAAGCGUUGUUCGGAUUCACUGGGCGUAAAGGGUGCGUAGGUGGUUGGGUAAGUUUGAUGUGAAAUCUCCGAGCUUAACUCGGAAAUUGCAUUGAAUACUAUUCAACUUGAGGAUCGGAGGGGAGACUGGAAUUCUCGGUGUAGCAGUGAAAUGCGUAGAUAUCGAGAGGAACACCAGUGGCGAAGGCGAGUCUCUGGACGACUCCUGACACUGAGGCACGAAAGCUAGGGGAGCAAACAGG